UGGAGGGCAAGUCUGGUGCCAGCAGCCGCGGUAAUUCCAGCUCCAAUAGCGUAUAUUAAAGUUGUUGCAGUUAAAAAGCUCGUAGUUGAACCUUGGGUCUGGCUGGCCGGUCCGCCUCACCGCGAGUACUGGUCCGGCUGGACCUUUCCUUCUGGGGAACCUCAUGGCCUUCACUGGCUGUGGGGGGAACCAGGACUUUUACUUUGAAAAAAUUAGAGUGCUCCAGGCAGGCCUAUGCUCGAAUACAUUAGCAUGGAAUAAUAGAAUAGGACGUGUGGUUCUAUUUUGUUGGUUUCUAGGACCGCCGUAAUGAUUAAUAGGGACAGUCGGGGGCAUCAGUAUUCAAUUGUCAGAGGUGAAAUUCUUGAAUUUAUUGAAGACUAACUACUGCGAAAGCAUUUGCCAAGGAUGUUUUCAUUAAUCAGGAACGAAAGUUAGGGGAUCGAAGACGAUCAGAUACCGUCGUAGUCUUAACCAUAAACUAUGCCGACUAGGGAUCGGACGGUGUUAUUUUUUGACUCGUUCGGCACCUUACGGGAAAC
rnacentral:rRNA from 1 species